UACGUAGGGACCGAGCGUUGUCCGGAUUUAUUGGGCGUAAAGAGCUCGUAGGCGGUUUCGUAAGUCGGAUGUGAAAACUCCAGGCUCAACUUGGAGACGCCAUUCGAUACUGCGAUGACUUGAGUCCGGUAGGGGAGUGUGGAAUUCCUGGUGUAGCGGUGAAAUGCGCAGAUAUCAGGAGGAACACCGGCGGCGAAGGCGGCACUCUGGGCCGGUACUGACGCUGAGGAGCGAAAGCGUGGGUAGCAAACAGG
rnacentral:rRNA from 1 species